rnacentral:rRNA from 1 species
AAAACAUCUUUUCUUGAAAAUUAUAUGAAAUAUAACCUGCCCAAUGAUGAUUAAAUGGCCGCGGUAUUUUGACCGUGCAAAGGUAGCAUAAUCAUUAGUUUAUUAAUUGUGGACUUGUAUGAAUGGUUAAAUGAAAUAUUAACUGUCUCUAUUUAAUUUUUAAAAUUUAAUUUUUUAGUUAAAAAGCUAAAAUGAAUUUAUAGGACGAGAAGACCCUAUAGAUCUUUAUUAUAUGAAUGAUUUAAUUUUUUAGAUUUUUAUUUUUAUUUUAUUUUUAUAUUUUUGUUGGGGUGACAAUUAGAUAUAAUUAACUCUUAUCUAUUUUUGCAAUUAUUUUUGUUAUUAUAAUUUUUCAAUGUUUUUUAAAGAAUUAGAUACCUUAGGGAUAACAGCGUAAUUUAAUUUGAUAGUUCAUAUUGACAAUUAAGAUUGCGACCUCGAUGUUGGAUUAAGAAAAUUUUUUGAUGCAGAAGUUAAAAUUUUAGGUCUGUUCGACCUUUAAAUUCUUACA